rnacentral:rRNA from 1 species
AUGAAUUUGACCUUUGCGGCUGGAGCCAUGCCCUUGGUAGAUGACCUCUUGAUAGUAUUUAACGCAGAAGAAACUGGGUCUCCCGGUACCAGCGGUGAUUUUGAUCUCGGAAUAGAAAAUCUCCUCAGCCUCGUUAAAAUCAGAUGUGUAGUAUGGGGAGACGAGGACGACAGAGUUGAGGCUGCAGAAGCUGCCAUUCGGGAAGCAGCCAACGCACAUCCCAACCGCCCUACUCUACGCUUGGACUGA